UCGCCAAAACAAUUUCUUGCUGCAUUAUGAAAUCCCAAAGCAAAUUUGUUACGACAAACGCACAAACGAUAACGAAAAUGACGGACACAAAAUAAAUAAACUACAAACAGAAAUAGAGGACCAUACAGAUUUACGUGAAAAAUUCUUUGUAGGAAAAAAUUACAGGCGAGAGAGGAGAAAACUUCACUAUUGAAAAGGAAAUACAAUGUUCGAGUACAAUCAACCACCAUCAGUCGCCUCUGGGGCAAAAACGAUAAAGAAAACUCUUAACGAGUUUCGGAUCGGAUCCGAUCCGAUCCGUACUUGUCGGCCCGAGCCCUCCGCUACCCACCACAGACAUUCAUUUUUCCUUGAUAAUUUUAAUUUCAAAUUUGAUUGCACCGCGAAACUGUCGGCGAAUCGAAAUUUCGAACUGAAGUCGAUUAUCAAUUUCGAGUCACAUCUAACAAGAUUAGCUGUUUCAGAAGCCACGCCAAACAUUAGAACAAGUGGAGGGACAAAUUAAAUUUGAAUUUUUUUUUCUUUCAAUUUUGAGGUAAAGUAUAACGACCUAACCCGCUAGCAAUAUAACUCAUUGAGCCCAAAUCAUCAGCCCAAAAUAUUUAAACUCAGUUAUUAUUACUAACAUGUAAGAUCUCAUAUAAUUCAAUCAGAGUUAUUUUAUCAUUGCGAGACUAUCGGGGUGUUACAUAAAGUAGCUAGGGGGGAGUUGAUGAUAUUGUGGGUUGGG
rnacentral:lncRNA from 1 species